UCUCGACGCGAUGGGGUCGACGCUGUGGGAAACCGCUUGGAAGGAAAAGCAGUCCGCGUGUUUUGUCGACGGUUUAUAUCGUUGAAACAAUUUGUCUACUUAUAACAGCGUCGACAAUUCCCCAUGUGCUCCACACGUGACCUGAACCGUUCGUGACUACAACUUUUGGGGGAAAAGAACGCCCCUCGUUUCCACAGCCGCAUUAAACCUUCUCUCUCAUCAGUUCUCAAAUCAUCCCAACCCUUAAAUCAGUUCUCAUUAUUUUUUCUUCUAAUUUUCAGGAUCUGAGAGUUAAUUUCUUGCUCGAAUAAUGUCUUGUUAUUGAAGUUCUUGAUUCAAAUCCCGUUAGCAAUCGGUUAUUUUUCAAGUUUCUUCUCUCAUUUGUUUAGUUGUUAUUUGGUAUGGAUAAUUAAAAUUUUGAUUUGUGUAUGUUUUAGGUUUUCUUUCUUUUAUCAUAAUUUUUUGCCAUUGAACUGUGUUUUCGUUUGACAUUGAACUCUCACUUCCUUCGGAUCUAACAUUCGUCACCCCCAUCUCCAGGUCUGUUCAAGGAUUCACAAGUUUGGCCACCAACUUUCUCGCCAAUUACAGGUGUUUGGUGUUGUUUUCAGCUGCACAGGUGCUGCUUCUUGCUGUUGCAGGGUGUGGGUUGUGCUCCUGAUGUGUGCAGGCUAUUCUGCAGGGAGUCCAGGUGUUGCAGUCAGGUCUACAGGGAGUGUGGUGUUCGAUUGCUGCUGUGUGCAAUCUUAUGUUGCGUACCCUUUUAUUGCGUUUGUUGUGUUUGGUUGUUAGGGAGUGGUCUGUACUCCUCUAACUUUUUCUGCUGUUUCGUUGUUUAGAUACUUUUGUUCAUACCUUUUGGUAUUAAAUUUGUGUUUUGGAGAUAUAUAGCUAGCUAAUUUAAUAGUUUGGACAUGUGUAAACUUAAUUUGAUGAUAUGAUAUGAGGAUUUGGAGCGA